rnacentral:lncRNA from 10 species
GGGAGAUAGAAUGUCAUCGGAAUGCCCAUAGACAUCUAAAGCAGUGCAGUGAUUUGGAGGAAAUUAAUGUUUCUGAAAUUGUUGGAUCAUAAAGUUCAAGGGGCAAAAUAUUAGAACUUGAAGCUGGAACAAUAAGCAAGGGUCAAAUGACAGCGAUCCAGUUAGACCAUGUUGAAGACCUCAGAUUGUAUCCUUUCAGUGAUGGGAACAUCGAAACAUUUCAUCUCUCUGUUGCCCUUUCUUUGCAAAUGGGACAGACUCAGGGCAUUCAGAAUAGAAUGUUCCGCUGAGUUGUUGUGAAAACUACAGUGUAAGGAGAAGCAUGAAAAAUGCUGCAUAUGCCAUGAAACAAAGAAGCCAAGCUUGAAAUCAGAAUCUCCAACAAACCCCCAAUCAAUUGUGGCAUCCUUAGCUUGGCCGUUGAACAGCUAAGGAGAGGGAAUCACUCCAAGGGUAUUUUUUUUUUUUCUUGAGAUUUUGAAAGAGUAGAGAUGGACAUCAGAAAUAUUUGACCCAGUCCUUUUUCAAAUUGCUUUGCUGUGCUGAAACUUUUGUGUGGAUGAAAUUCACCUGAGAUGCUUGUUUAAAUGCACCUUCCUGAGCCUACCUCUACACAGGCUGAUUUAGCAGAUUUUGGAGUGGGAUCCAGAGUUCUGCUUUUUAAAGAAGAACCUCAAGAGGCCAGGAGCGGUGGCUCACGCCUGUAAUCCCAGCACUUCGGGAGGCCGAGGCGGGCGGAUCACGAGG